UACAGAGGGUGCGAGCGUUGUUCGGAAUUAUUGGGCGUAAAGGGCGCGUAGGCGGCGCGGUAAGUCACCUGUGAAAUCUCCUGGCUCAACUGGGAGCUUGCAGGCGAAACUGCCGUGCUGGAGUAUGGGAGAGGUGCGUGGAAUUCCCGGUGUAGCGGUGAAAUACGUAGAUAUCGGGAGGAACACCUGUGGCGAAAGCGGCGCACUGGACCAUAACUGACGCUGAUGCGCGAAAGCUAGGGGAGCAAACAGG
rnacentral:rRNA from 1 species